rnacentral:rRNA from 1 species
UACGUAGGGGGCAAGCGUUGUCCGGAUUUAUUGGGCGUAAAGAGCGUGUAGGCGGCUUGGUAGGUCCGCUGUGAAAACUCGAGGCUCAACCUCGAGAUGUCGGCGGAAACCACUUGGCUAGAGUCCGGAAGAGGCGAGUGGAACUCCUGGUGUAGCGGUGGAAUGCGCAGAUAUCAGGAGGAACACCAACGGCGAAGGCAGCUCGCUGGGACGGUACUGACGCUGAGACGCGAAAGCGUGGGGAGCGAACAGG